GACGAACGCUGGCGGCGUGCUUAACACAUGCAAGUCGAACGGAAAGGCCCUGCUUUUGUGGGUUUCUCGAGUGGCGAACGGGUGUGUAACACGUGUGUAACCUGCCCUUGACUUUGGGAUAACUUCAGGAAACUGGGGCUAUUACCGGAUAGGAUCUCCUGCUGCAUGGUGGUGGUUGGAAAGUUUCGGCGGUUGGGGAUGGACUCGCGGCUUAUCAGCUUGUUGGUGGGGUAGUGGCUUACCAAGGCUUUGACGGGUAGCCGGCCUGUGAGGGUGACCGGGGACAUUGGGACUGAGAUAGGGAGCAGAAUGGUACGGGAGGCAGGAGUGGGGAAUAUUGCAGAAUGGGGGGAAGCGUGAUGCAGAAACGCAGGGAGCGGGAAGAAGGGGUACGGGUUGUAAACAGAUUUAGAAUGUGAAGAAGAGUGAGUGACGGUAAUGGGUAAAGAAGCAACGGCUAACUACGUG
rnacentral:rRNA from 1 species